CUUUUAUGUAAUAUUUAGUAUUAUCAACAACUGCCUCCACUGUUUCAUCUGCUACUGCUAUCGCUAGUGAUCCAAUAUUGAAGUUAAUUCAAGAAAGUAUGUUGACUUUUUUUAAUUAUA
rnacentral:lncRNA from 1 species